rnacentral:rRNA from 1 species
UACGUAGGGUGCGAGCGUUAAUCGGAAUUACUGGGCGUAAAGUGUGCGCAGGCGGCCGCGCAAGUCGAGUGUGAAAUCCCCGAGCUUAACUUGGGAAUUGCGCUCGAAACUACGUGGCUGGAGUGUGGCAGAGGAAGGUGGAAUUCCACGUGUAGCGGUGAAAUGCGUAGAUAUGUGGAGGAACACCGAUGGCGAAGGCAGCCUUCUGGGCCAACACUGACGUUCAUGCACGAAAGCGUGGGGAGCAAACAGG